UUCCAGGUGGCGAAGACAAGUCCGCACGAGGCCCACGGGCAUGGCUCGAGUGCCAUCUUGUGUAGCAGCGGCAUCUACGACUGCCACAUCUGCAGCAGCAGCAUCAGCAGCACCAGCAGCAACAUCAAGUGCGGCAGCAACACUGGCCACUUUUCAAUGGGACUCCUGGCGAACGAGUGUAAGCGUAACGCAUUUGUGUGAGUGCCGCUGCGAGGGUGUUCGUGUGAAGUGGAAGCGCUGGAAAAGCGCAUUCUCACAUUUCAAUUAAAUAACACCAGCGGCGUACGGUCACAAUUGCCAGUUCAAUGGGCAUUCCGAGCGUGUGAGGAAAAUAACCACUUGGGCUUUGGGCGAACUUCGACUGGAGGAUUCUAUUCUCAGAGCAUUAGGAAAGCUGAAGUUAUUGCCCAUCUUCCAGCUAAUUACAUUACAGUACUUUCACUUCGAACCCUUCGUCGAUUGCGAGCAGGUCCCUCAAGUGCCUUGGCUUUAUUAAUAGCAACUCAUGUUGCGUUUAAACUGGACAACAAUGGAACUAAGGCAGCGGACAUGGCACUGGCAGUGCACCCGCGACCCACACCAGCCCACGAGCACCUCGGCGGAGGAGGCGCCACCCCAGCCACCCGAAUCCCGGCAGCCGACAAGCCCGCACUUUCCCUUGGGCUUGGCAUGUGCUAAGGUCUGCGACUGCGGAUACUUCUGUGCGCUCGUCAUGCCACCACAUGUGAUAUAAAAAUACAUAAAUGGACAAUGCAAAAGGAAAGAUGAGUAAGAGCUCUGUGCCGCCGGGGCACAGGGAGCCGGAGGAUGCGGAUGGGGCGAGGCCCAGCUCGGAUUAGGGGCGAAUUGAUUGAGCGAGUGGGCCGAGGGUGUGGUCCUGGGAAGACACCGUUCCAAUAACUGCUGCAAUAACCGGCCAAGCUGGCGGGCGCAGCAGGAAGGUCGGCUCUAGCAGUGGCCAAUGCAGCCACAUGCUGGAAUUUGGUAGUGACACCACGCUCUCGGAAGCCGGAAAAUUCUUUGCAGUGCCCCCACGUUACCCAUACGCACCGUUGACCAUGUAAUCGAAAGGCACAGCAUGCCAUCGCCCAGCUAGAGAAAUGCCGGACCCAGGGGACGGAUGCCGUUGGAAUGCUGGCGAGAGUUUGGCCAUUUUCGGUACUGACAUAUUUUCCAACGCUCAAGCACAAUUUCACUUUAGCUUCCAGUCAAGUUGAGUUACUGCAGUUAAGCCGCUGAAGUUUCGUCGGCAAAGUUUGGCUUUUAAUCUUGCUAAAUUGAAUUUAUCUAGGAAUGAGGAAAGUAAGUUUCGUGUAAUUGGCCAAGGCGGCUUACUGCCCAAUAAAAGAUCGCUAAUUUGUCUUUUUCUUUCUUUUAAUAUUUUUUUGUUGAAUAUUGUUUUUGUUUGUUUUAAAUAUAUAUAUAUAUAUUUAUAUAAAAUAUAUAAGCAUAAACUUGUACAAAUAUAAAUAUCUUUUACGUUUACCCGACGGCCCCUCAUUAUCGAUCUGCAUAUCUGCGUCCGUCUGCAGCUCGAAACUCGAGCGCUCACACAAUUUGUUUCAUGGAAUCCCAACAUCUCACAUAUUCCUUCUGUUGCUACACAUUAACUUUUGCUAAACUUUCCGUGGAUGUGUCUCUGUCUCUAGUGUGUGUGUGUUGCAUAGCUAAGAUACAAGUACUAUAGAUAUAUUUACAAUAGCGAUAA